ACAGGAUAUUCUGAGUUCGAAGGGUCCCACAAGGCUCAUGCAGUCCAACUCUUAAGUGAAUGGCCCAGGCGGGAUGGAAAGGAGGAA